GAUUAACGCUGGCGGCGUGCAUAACACAUUCAAGUCGAACGAAGCAUUUGAGACGGAGACUUCGGUCAAAGUUUCUUAUGACUUAGUGGCGGACGGGUGAGUAACGCGUGAGCAACCUGCCUUCGUAUGGGGGACAACAGCUGGAAACGGCUGCUAAUACCGCAUAAAGCAUCGGGGACGCAUGUUUCUGAUGUUAAAGAUUUAUUGUACGAAGAUGGGCUCGCGUCUGAUUAGCUAGUUGGUGAGGUAACGGCCCACCAAGGCGACGAUCAGUAGCCGGACUGAGAGGUUGAACGGCCACAUUGGAACUGAGACACGGCCCAGACUCCUACGGGAGGCAGCAGUGGGGGAUAUUGCACAAUGGGGGAAACCCUGAUGCAGCAACGCCGCGUGAGGGAAGAAGGUUUUCGGAUUGUAAACUAUUGUCGUUAGGGAAGAUACAAGACAGUACCUAAGGAGGAAGCCCCGGCUAACUAUGUGCCAGCAGCCG
rnacentral:rRNA from 1 species